AAAUCCCUUCGGGGGUCUGGCUUGCCAGGUGGUAAUUACUUACCUGCUAGCUAAAUGAUUCUUCCACAGUGACACUUAUAGAAGCCUAUGCGCCCCUGCAAAGGGGUUCUGCCGCGACUGAAAAUAAUGGUAAAAAUGCAAGUCAGCUUUCGAGCUGGCAACACAAUCGAAAUGCGGGGAUCUCCUAAAGCUCGGUGGUACCAACUGGCAGUGGAAACGCUCCCAGGGCCCGUGUUAACUACACGGGGUAUGGUAAAAAUCCAUCGAGAUCUUGCAAUGGACAAUCCGCAGCAGAGCCCCUAACGGCCCACCAGUGGUGCCUACGGGGAGUGUUCACAGACUAAGUGAUUGUGGGUCAUGCGUAAGGUAUGGUCUAAGAUAUAGUCGGGCCCCUUCUGAAAUGUUGGGGGUUAAGUUAUUACGAUUGCCGGACACAUAAUAGGGUAUUCCUUUAUAACCAUAUAUAUUAAUGUUCUCCAAGGUCGUAACUAAAACUAAAAACUGUUCCGUAGGUGAACCUGCGGAAGGAUCAUUACAGAGCUCAUGCCCGAAAGGGUAGACCUCCCACCCUUGUGUAUUUUAUACUUUGUUGCUUUGGCGGACCCGCCGCAAGGCCACCGGCUUCGGCUGGUGCGUGCCCGCCAGAGGACCCCCAAACUCUGAAUGUUAGUGUCGUCUGAGUACUAUAUAAUAGUUAAAACUUUCAACAACGGAUCUCUUGGUUCUGGCAUCGAUGAAGAACGCAGCGAAAUGCGAUAAGUAAUGUGAAUUGCAGAAUUCAGUGAAUCAUCGAAUCUUUGAACGCACAUUGCGCCCCUUGGUAUUCCGGGGGGCAUGCCUGUUCGAGCGUCAUUUCAACCCCUCAAGCUCUGCUUGGCGUUGGGCCCCGCUGGCAACGGUGGGCCUUAAAGGUAGUGGCGGUGCCCUGAGGCCCUGAGCGUAGUACAUUUCUCGCUACAGGUUCUGGAGGGUUACUGGCCAGCAACCCCAAAUCUUCUAUGGUUGACCUCGGAUCAGG
rnacentral:sRNA from 1 species